UACGAAGGGGGCGAGCGUUGUUCGGAUUUACUGGGCGUAAAGGGCGCGCAGGCGGCGAUCUUUGUCAGGCGUGAAAGCCCCGGGCUUAACCUGGGAACUGCGCUUGGGACGGGAUUGCUGGAGACCGGGAGAGGAGAGUGGAAUUCCCAGUGUAGAGGUGAAAUGCGUAGAUAUCUGGAGGAAUACCGGUGGCGAAGGCGGCAUCCUGGACCGACAUUGACGCUGAACGGCGAAAGCUAGGGGAGCAAACGGG
rnacentral:rRNA from 1 species